rnacentral:tRNA from 2 species
GCCCCUGUAGCUCAGUGGACAGAGCAGCGGACUUCUAAUCCGAAGGCCGGAGGUUCGAAUCCUCCCGGGGGCGCCA